rnacentral:rRNA from 1 species
AACGUACGCUGGCGGCACGCCUAACACAUGCAAGUCGAACGAAGUAGCAAUACUUAGUGGCAGACGGGUGAGUAACAUGUAGGUAUCUGCCCUUUGGCCUGGAAUAACACGAGGAAACUUGUGCUAAUACCGGAUAAGUCUUUACGGAGAAAGCUUUAUGCACCAUUGGAUGAGCCUGCACUUGAUUAGUUUGUUGGUGGGGUAAUGGCCUACCAAGACUGUGAUCAAUAGCUGAUUUGAGAGGAUGAUCAGCCACAUUGGGACUGAGACACGGCCCAAACUCCUACGGGAGGCAGCAGUGGGGAAUCUUGCACAAUGGAGGAAACUCUGAUGCAGCGAUGCCGCGUGAGUGAAGAAGGCCCUUGGGUUGUAAAGCUCUUUCGUCGGGGAAGAAAA